rnacentral:rRNA from 1 species
UAUAGCAAUAGCUAGUUGCAUCAUUAUACGAUGAUGCAAGAUCGACUAUGUCGAAUAAAAUUCUAGGUAGAAUUAUGAUAAUGACAUUGUCUGCCUAUGUGUCUUGACCAAAUUACGUGCCAGCAGUCGCGGUAAUACGUAGAAGACUAGUGUUAUUCAUGUUUAAUCGGUUUAAAGGGUACCUAGACGGUAAAUCAAGCUUUAUAAGAAAUAUAGUUAAAGGACUAAUUUACUAGAGUUACUUACGAGGGGGCAUUAAAGUACUACUGGUGUAGAGAUGAAAUUCUGUCAUACCUCUUUUCAAAGGAAAAAAUGAAGGCACAGGUAUAGGCGAAGGCAUCUCCUUAUGUGAUAACUGACGUUGAGGGACGAAGGCUUUGUAUAGCGAACAGGAUUAGUUACCCCAGUAGUCGAAGCAGAAAAUGAUGAAUGUCAUAGAUUAGAGGUAAGUUUAUUCUAUAAAUGAAAGUGUAAGCAUUCCACCUCAUGAGUAAUUUGGCAACAUUGGAACUGAAAUCAUUAGACCGUUUCUGAAACCAGUAGUGAAGUAUGUUGUUUAAUUUGAUGAUCCGCAAAAAACCUUACCACAAUUUGAAUAUUUAUAUUUUUUUUUAUUGUUUUCUUAUUAAUUUUCUUCUAAGAAGAAAGUUAAUAUAGAGGCAAUAAGAUAUAUUUACAAGCGUUGCACGGCUGUCUUCAGUUAAUGUCGCGAGACUUUGGUUAGUUCCAUUAAAUUAACGUAAACCCUUACUUUAUUUUUAUAUAGAGUAGUUCCCCGCUAUAUUGGAUAUGAU